GACGAACGCUGGCGGCGUGCUUAACACAUGCGAGUCGAACGGAAAGGCUCUGCUUUUGUGGGGUGCUCGAGUGGCGAACGGGUGAGUAACACGUGAGUAACCUGCCCUUGACUUUGGGAUAACUUCAGGAAACUGGGGCUAAUACCGGAUAGGAGCUCCUGCUGCAUGGUGGGGGUUGGAAAGUUUCGGCGGUUGGGGAUGGACUCGCGGCUUAUCAGCUUGUUGGUGGGGUAGUGGCUUACCAAGGCUUUGACGGGUAGCCGGCCUGAGAGGGUGACCGGCCACAUUGGGACUGAGAUACGGCCCAGACUCCUACGGGAGGCAGCAGUGGGGAAUAUUGCACAAUGGGCGGAAGCCUGAUGCAGCAACGCCGCGUGCGGGAUGACGGCCUUCGGGUUGUAAACCGCUUUCGCCUGUGACGAAGCGUGAGUGACGGUAAUGGGUAAAGAAGCACCGGCUAACUACGUG
rnacentral:rRNA from 1 species